rnacentral:rRNA from 1 species
CAGCCGCCGCGGUAAUACGGAGGGUGCAAGCGUUAAUCGGAAUUACUGGGCGUAAAGCGCACGCAGGCGGUCUGACAAGUCAGAUGUGAAAUCCCCGGGCUUAACCUGGGAACUGCAUUUGAAACUGUCAGGCUGGAGUCUUGUAGAGGGGGGUGGAAUUCCAGGUGUAGCGGUGAAAUGCGUAGAGAUCUGGAGGAAUACCGGUGGCGAAGGCGGCCCCCUGGACAAAGACUGACGCUCAGGUGCGAAAGCGUGGGGAGCAAACAGGAUUAGAUACCCCCGUAGUCCCUGUUUCUUAUAC